UCCUUGGGGUAGGAAAGGAGUUCCCCCCAGAUGUCCAUAAUGUUCAUCAUCUCAUGUUCAAGGAUUUGCUCACAUGUCUCCUUUGAGGUCCUCCCCAACC